GACGAACGCUGGCGGCGUGCUUAACACAUGCAAGUCGAACGGUGACCCUCGGAGCUUGCUUCGGGGUGAACAGUGGCGAACGGGUGAGUAACACGUGAGUAACCUGCCCCUGACUCUGAAAUAAGCGUUGGAAACGGCGUCUAAUACCGGAUACGACACGCCUCCGCAUGGGGAGCGUGUGGCACGUUUUUCGGUCUGGGAUGGACUCGCGUCCUAUCAGCAUGUUGGUGAGGUAAUGGUUCACCAAGGCGAUGACGGGUAGCCGACCUGAGAGGGCGACCGGCCACACUGGGACUGAGACACGGCCCAGACUCCUACGGGAGGCAGCAGUGGGGAAUAUUGCACAAUGGGCGAAAGCCUGAUGCAGCGACGCCGCGUGAGGGAUGACGGCCUUCGGGUUGUAAACCUCUUUCAGCAGGGAAGAAGCGAAAGUGACGGUACCUGCAGAAGAAGCACCGGCUAACUACGUGCCAGCAGCCGCCGUAACAC
rnacentral:rRNA from 1 species